rnacentral:rRNA from 1 species
GCACACGGCCAUAUCACUUUGAAAGUACACCACCCGUCCGAUCUGGCAAAUUAAGCAACAAUAGACCUGGUUAGUACUUGGAUCGGAAACCGCUUGGGAGUCCCAGGUGUCGUGAACU